rfam:Veillonella parvula DSM 2008, complete genome.
UCUAUACGGGUCUGUGGUUGAAAGUCGAGGCUAGUCGCAGGCAAAACGAUCCACAUAAGCAGCCCAAAGGGUUGUGAGCAUGGUGCGGCUUAGGUGUAAGUCCUGCCGAUAAAAUCGAGAGAGGUAGUAGUGGGGAGUCUUGGACUUAUGAGCGAACCUUCCAGCAGGCGAGUGUGGGGGCAAAGACCAGGUCAGCCGUAUAGG